UACUUGGAUAACUGUGGUAAUUCUAGAGCUAAUACAUGCAGAAGGAGCGCAUUUAUUAGACCAAGACCAAUUCUGGUGACUCUGAAUAACUCACGGUCCUAGUACCGGUGACAUAUCUUUCAAGUGUCUGCCCUAUCAACUUUCGAUGGUAGUUUAUGUGCCUACCAUGGUGGUAACGGGUAACGGAGAAUAAGGGUUCGACUCCGGAGAGGGAGCCUGAGAAAUGGCUACCACAUCCAAGGAAGGCAGCAGGCGCGCAAAUUACCCACUCUCAGUGAGGAGGUAGUGACGAAAAAUAACGAGACGGUUCUCUAUGUCAUCGGAAUGGGUACAAUUUAAACCCUUUAACGAGGAUCUAUUGGAGGGCAAGUCUGGUGCCAGCAGCCGCGGUAAUUCCAGCUCCAAUAGCAUAUACCAAUACUGUUGCUGUUAAAAAGCUCGUAGUUGGAUCUCAAGGGGGGAGACUGUCUCAAGGACAUGCAGCUGGUUUUCCCCUGAUGCCUCUAACAGGGUGUCUUGGGUGGCUAGCACGUUUACUUUGAAAAAAUUAGAGUGCUCAGAACAGGCGUUACUCCUGAAUAGUGGUGCAUGGAAUAAUGGAAUAGGAGGUUCUAUUUUGUUGGUUUUAGGAGCGCGAGAUAAUGAUUAAGAGGGACAGACGGGGGCAUUCGUAUUGUGGCGUUAGAGGUGAAAUUCUUGGA
rnacentral:rRNA from 1 species